UACAGUCAGUCAGUCAAACAAACACGUGAUUAGUUUUUGGUUGUAUGCAGCAUUAAUUUUGCUAAGUCAGAGGCGAACUAUUAGGGACGCUAAUGGUGCUGUUUGGUUCUGUGUAAACCAACGCAAAUUCUAAGAAAAACUAUGGAGAAAUAUUUUUUCGCUAAUUUCAGAAACAAUGCCAACGUCAGCAUUUUUGUCUGAGAUUCAAGGCUAAAUAUUUUUGAAGAAAUGCGUGGCUACCCCCAGUUUUCUUCUUGGAUUUCAACAGCCCUUGCUGAGGUCUUUUUUUCACAUAGUCCUAAUUCGGGCGAAAGACCUUUGUAUUUUGGUAGGCGCCCUCCAUAGUGAAGGUAUUACCGCGUUAACCUUCAAUGGCGCCAUGUUUUGUAAAUAAUCCUCUGACUUUGAACAAGCGUUAUUAUUACGCCUGUGUUGAUUUGAUACCUACAGUUACCAGUCUGCACAAUUGUUACACAUCCAACCACCAGUCUACACAAGUGUUAUACCUACAGGCAAAAGCCUGAACAAGUGUUAAUACCUACAGCCAAAAGCCCGACAUGUUAAUCAGCUCAUAAAUGAUUGCAUUUCUAUUUUUCAGUCAAAACGUCUCCAAGAAAGCGUAAUGUAGGAAGUUCAGUAAAUCGUGUGCGAUCAAUGACAGAACAGGACCGAAAUCAACGAGAAAGAACACUUACCGGUGAUAGUAUGACGUCUGACAAAGGACGAUCGAGAUCAUUUACGGAAGCUGAUAAAAAUAUUGAAGGAAGUAGCCUCAAAAAGAUCAUGGUUACUGCACACAGCAGCCACACGGCGGCGGCGCCUGACGAGACUGCUACAGCUGAGAAAAAAGUCGUCGUAGUUGAUCCUCACGAAAUUUCAUUAACAGAAGCGGAGGAAUCGAACUUUUCCGAGUCUCAAACAGCAUCUGCAGUCACUCAGGAGACUAAUAACGAAGACCCACUAAUCUCUUAACUGCCAAAGGGGAGCGCUGCUCAAGGUUGUCUUCGACGCCAAGUUAGUUUCCAACUUCCAGAGGAAGUAGAGAACUUGGAAGAGCAAUGAGUGCAUAGUAACAGAUGAUUCAUCUUGCUACCUGCAGAUAUGGAAGGGCUUGACAAGGCUGAAAAUUUCCUUUUUUGCAUCCAUUAAAAUCGACCACUAUGAACAUCAUCGUGUGACAAAUAAUUGGUCUUCUUUACAAUCUUGAAAUCCCCUCCUUGCUCUAUACACGCGGAAGGUUACUCAAUAGAUCAGUUUUCUUUUAGCCAGUGAUAGUAUUUUCCUUUCCAGCUUAUAAAUAAAUACAAAAGCAGUCGAACUUGAAAAAUAUUGCAGCUGGUAGGUGCUUUGGACAGAGAUUGAACCGAAAUUUUCGGCCAAUUGCGAUUACAAAAACGUUUUACUGACAAGACUCCACGUACAAAGACGAUAGUAAAAGCUCGAUCACAUGGCAACGAUACAUCAUGUACAGCAGUAAUUUGUAAAGAGGGUGGUCGACGGGUUUCCUUUUUCCUUUUGAAUCAUGAGGACGUUUUAUUGCGGUUAGCUAGUUAUAGAGAUCGAUUGUUGUUAAAAAAUAGAGUUUUUAAAUGAUGAAAAUCAAUGUUAUGUCUCCAGGUGGGACGCUGUAAACUUGUAUUGAAACAAUAACCUUGGGUUAAUUUGAAAAUAAUUGUUUCAUCUAAAAACAUCAGAGUUGUUAGUAGUGAUAAAUGACAUCAUAUUCCAAGACAGUAUAAACACGGUUUACACUAUGUUCCAAGUAGCAAAAUGCUUUUUGACACUUGUUGUUUUUUUGUUUCAAACACUCGCGACAUGGCGACACAGGGGACAAUCAAAGAUAAAAUUUCUGAGCCACGGAUAGCCUGGAGCUAAGACGGGUGAUUUUUCACACUUAGUCAGCUGUAAGAUCUUCUAACAAUAAACUGCAAAACUGAACAAACGGGGUUAGGGAUACAGUAUAUGGCUGAGGAUAGCCUUGGCAUUCCUUGGAGACAUAUUGGUUUAAAAGGUGAUAAACAUAACACCUGCAAACUCAGAGUAUUUUUUAUACUGCAAUUAUGACGUCAAGGUGGUCAUACUGAUGUUCCCAAACAAUAUAAUAAAUAUUAUGAGUUCUUUUUUCCAACGCAAAAAAACACCAACAUGGCCACCUUAAAAACGCUCGUUGUUGUAGCAACGAAAACAACAACUUCCGCGUACGAUAAUUAUUAUAUAGUUCUUUGAAAUGUUAAAAGCCUUUAACACUUGAAUAAAUCUAUCCGUUCAUUUGUUCUUUUGUUUUAGCUUGGAACUCUGGGUCUUGAAAAUGCUUAAUGAAGUAUUCAGAUUAAAGUCUUGUCUUUUCUAUUAUGUUUUA
rnacentral:misc_RNA from 1 species